rnacentral:rRNA from 1 species
AUUGAACGCUGGCGGCAGGCCUAACACAUGCAAGUCGAGCGGAUGAAGGGAGCUUGCUCCUGGAUUCAGCGGCGGACGGGUGAGUAAUGCCUAGGAAUCUGCCUGGUAGUGGGGGAUAACGUCCGGAAACGGGCGCUAAUGCCGCAUACGUCCUGAGGGAAAAAGUGGGGGAUCUUCGGACCUCACGCUAUCAGAUGAGCCUAGGUCGGAUUAGCUAGUUGGUGGGGUAAAGGCCUACCAAGGCGACGAUCCGUAACUGGUCUGAGAGGAUGAUCAGUCACACUGGAACUGAGACACGGUCCAGACUCCUACGGGAGGCAGCAGUGGGGAAUAUUGGACAAUGGGCGAAAGCCUGAUCCAGCCAUGCCGCGUGUGUGAAGAAGGUCUUCGGAUUGUAAAGCACUUUAAGUUGGGAGGAAGGGCAGUAAGUUAAUACCUUGCUGUUUUGACGUUACCAACAGAAUAAGCACCGGCUAACUUCGUG